UACGAAGGGGGCUAGCGUUGCUCGGAAUCACUGGGCGUAAAGGGUGCGUAGGCGGUUCUUUAAGUCAGGGGGGAAAUCCUGGAGCUCAACUCCAGAACUGCCUUUGAUACUGAAGAUCUUGAGUUCGGGAGAGGUGAGUGGAACUGCGAGUGUAGAGGUGAAAUUCGUAGAUAUUCGCAAGAACACCAGUGGCGAAGGCGGCUCACUGGCCCGAUACUGACGCUGAGGCGCGAAAGCCAGGGGAGCAAACGGG
rnacentral:rRNA from 1 species